rnacentral:lncRNA from 1 species
AAACCGAGUCCUAGCUCUCUCUCGACUCUCCUUGGUUAAGGGUAGCCGCAAUUCUCCCCUUUCGAAGCUAAGUUUCCUAUCCCAUCUCUUUUCUAUUGAUGAUAGUGUAAGAAAGAUAUCAGAACUUAACAUCUAUCAUUGAGCUUGCCAUGGCUAUCUUGUUCAUCUAUUUAUGACAAUAGUGGGCUAAGGUUUUUCCCAUAUUCUGUGUGUAUGCUAUUUGUUCAUCUAUUUGAAAGAAUUGAAGACAAGGUUUACCUUGAAGUCUGGUAGAGUAAUGAAUGAAGGCCCUCUUACUUUUCGGCUGUUGAAGUAUUACAUGAACUGAAACUUGAAGUUUCUGGUAGCAGGUAGAUCAAUUUACUUCCCUGGUGAAUAAGGAAUGAAUAAGGGUGUGUGUUGGCUGAAAUGUUAAAGAGUGUAGAGGGUGGUUGGCUGAAGACUUGAGUACCUACGAAAUGGUACAAUGUUGGGUGGCUGAUUUGAGCCCUUUGUGUACUAUGGUAUGGCUGGAGUAUGGGGUAGCUCAGCUGGUGUCUGGUGAGCCAGAGCUACCGUGAAGAAUAUAUGCAGCGAGGCAGACAAAAUAAUUUAGAUUGGUAAUUUGAAGCACCUCUUCAAAUGCUAAUUAGAGUUUUUGAUUUUGCUGCAGGUUAUUUUGGAGAAGAACAGGAAAGAGAUCNCCCACACUUUGAGGUAUUUAUACGAAGGUUUCCUUCCUUUCCAUAGCUCAUAGGGAGUUACAUCUUUCCUUUUGAGUUGAAUCUUGUUCAAUAUAUAGUUAGCAGUCAAGACAGCUUCCCCCCACAUGUUCUGGGGUAAUCCUGAACUAAUCAACAAGGCAUUCAUCUCCUUAAGAGUUCGAUUAUUGCGUUCAGCAACGCCGUUAGAUUAUGGUGAAUAAGGAGCCGUCGUUGAUGGAUUAUACCACUUUCGUUGCAUAAUUCAGCAAACAGAGCUACAUAUUCUCCACAUCUAUCACUUCGAACCAUCUUAAUUCGACAUCCAAGUUGAUUCUCGGCUUCAUUUUUGAAGUUUUUAAAAGCUUCAAUAGCCUCAUCUUUAUUUUUCAAUAAGUAAAGGUAACAAUAUCUUGUGCAAUCGUCUAUAAAGGUGAUAAAGUACUUCUUACCACCUCUAGUUUGCACAAACUUUAAAUCACAUACAUCGGUGUGAAUUAAAUCUAGUGGUUUAGUGCUCCUUUCAACCGAUUUAAAUGGUAACUUAGCCAUUUUACCUUCAACACAAACUUCACAUUUCUCUUGUGAGUUAAAAUCAUCAACUUUUAGUAAAUUCAUUUUUACUAGUCUUUUUAUAGCAUUUAGAUUAACAUGUCCAAGUCUACAAUGCCAUAAAUCGGAACACUCAAUCAAGUAAGCAGAAGAAGUAGAUUCUUUCUUAUUGAUAGUUGUCUUGGCAGGCUUACAAGCUCUCACGCCAAGUUUGAAAAGCCCUUCGGAGGCAUAGCCUUUCCCAAGGAACUUUCCCCACUUGCGAAUUACAACAUAAUCAGCUUUGCAAAACAACUCAAAAUCUUUCUUAGUGAGCUUAAUGCCCGAAAUUAGAUUCUUUCGGACAGUGGGAACAUGUAGCACAUCCUUCAAGGUGAUCUCCACGCCCGAAGUGAGUUGAAGAACCACAUCUCCCAUGCCAAGGACUUGAGAAGUCCACUCGCUAGCCUCCAUGAUCGUCUGUUUUUCACUCUUUGUAGUUGUGGAACAACCCACGAUUGAUGCAAACGUUGACGGUAGCGCCGGUAUCCACGAACCAAGCAUUUGGGCUAUCAACAUGCAGUACUACUACAAAAGUUUACAUACAUAACAGUGCAUAGAUAACGGUUUUUUUCAAAAACCAUUAUGUAUGAGCGCACUUUUAGGAAUAGAUAACGGUUCUGCAAAAAUCCGUUAUCUAUGUAGUGUUGUCUAUAUGCAUAGAUAACGGUUUCGAUUAAUUAGUUAUGUUUUUGCGUUAUCUAUUAGUUACAUACAUAACGGUAUUACAAACCGUUAAGCCGACCGUUAUCUAUGUGCGUAUUUUUUUAACUCUUACAUAACGAUUAUUGAAACCGUUAAGAAAAAGUGUUAUGUAUGCGAUUAUUUUAUUUAAUUUUUUAUUUUCAUAAUUAAUUUAUUAAUUAAAUAAUUUAAAAAUAUUGUAUAAUUGUAUCUCUCAUCUCCUCCCUAAAUCUCUCUCUCUCUUCGCGAUCUCUCCCUCUUUGAGAGAUAGUCGUCACCGCUGCCGAGGCAAGUUCUGGCGAAUGGUAGCUAUUCGCGCUCUUCCGGCGACAUCGGUCGCCGCGACCUCGUCUCUCCAUUUUCCUCUAACAUAUAGCAAGGGCAAAGGUCGAGCCCUAGUUCUUCUCUGUUCGGUACAACCCAGUCGUCGCCAUCUUAGGGAGACCGGCGAGCUGCGCGACCUAGAGCCCGCCCAUCGUUGCUGGUGGUCCGAGGAUCAGCGAGCCGAUGGUGUUCUACGGCCGGUUCUCUUCUCAACUCCACAUAAUCGAGGCAGGAAAAGGGGAAAGCCCUAAUUCUCCUCUCAUCCUCUAUCUGUCAUUUCGGCCGUAAGCUUUCGGUGAGGCCGCCGCUGGUAAGCUUUUCCUCUCUAUGUCGUCUCUAAUUUUCCCAAUUCCCACAGGAAAACAAAAGCCCUAAUAUUUUUUAAGAAAGCCCCAAAUUUUCAUAUUCGGUCAACCUCUCCGAUUCCACAGGUCACCGUCGAUUUAGAAAAGGUGUAAGUGAGUGGCUCCAACUAUACUUUUAUUCACUAUGCUUUUAGAUGUUAAUGGAGAUAAAUGCAUGUUGUGAGGCAAUUUGCAUUAAUUUUUUCUUCUAAUUUGCACCUUGUUUUAUAUUUGCAAGAGCCACCGCCGCUGCAACCGGAAGACCGGUGAAUCGUCGGGCUUCAUUCAUUCUCCUCCUCUUCUUCUCUCUGAAUGGCGCCGUGGACUGAGGAACGUCGAUGAACGCCGCUCACUGCCAUGGUCUUCGAGAUUCGGGCGAGUGGUUGUCACCUCCACUCUGUCGUUACCUCUCUCACUCACUCUCACGAAUAGAUCUCCCUCACACACGAAGGGAAUAGAAACCGAGUCCUAGCUCUCUCUCGACUCUCCUUGGUUAAGGGUAGCCGCAAUUCUCCCCUUUCGAAGCAAGUUUCCUAUCCCAUCUCUUUUCUAUUGAUGAUAGUGUAAGAAAGAUAUCAGAACUUAACAUCUAUCAUUGAGCUUGCCAUGGCUAUUUUGUUCAUCUAUUUAUGACAAUAGUGGGCUAAGUUUUUUCUUUUAUUCUGUGUGUAUGCUAUUUGUUCAUCUAUUUGAAAGAAUUGAAGACAAGGUUUACCUUGAAGUCUGGUAGAGUAAUGAAUGAAGGCCCUCUUACUUUUCGGCUGUUGAAGUAUUACAUGAACUGAAACUUGAAGUUUCUGGUAGCAGGUAGAUCAAUUUACUUCCCUGGUGAAUAAGGAAUGAAUAAGGGUGUGUGUUGGCUGAAAUGUUAAAGAGUGUAG